rnacentral:misc_RNA from 1 species
GAAAUGCGAUAAUUAAUGUGAAUAGCAGAAUUCAGUGAAUCAUCGAGUCUUUGAACGCACAUUGCGCCCCCUGGUAUUCCGGGGGGCAUGCCUGUCCGAGCGUCAUUGCUGCCCUCAAGCACGGCUUGUGUGUUGGGCUUCCGUCCCUGGCAACGGGGACGGGCCCAAAAGGCAGUGGCGGCACCAUGUCUGGUCCUCGAGCGUAUGGGGCUUUGUCACCCGCUCCCGUAGGUCCAGCUGGCAGCUAGCCUCGCAACCAAUCUUUUUAACCAGGUUGACCUCGGAUCAGGUAGGGAUACCCGCUGAACUUAAGC